GUUACACUCUGACGCCGGACCAAAGGACAUGUGCAGAUGUGAAUGAAUGUGAAGAGCAUGUUGACAUCUGUGAAGGUGGUCAGUGCACUAAUGUUCCUGGAGAAUAUCACUGCAUGUGUCAUGAAGGAUUCAUGACUUCUGUGGACAUGAGGACAUGCAUUGAUGUGAAUGAGUGUAAACUCAACACCAACAUCUGUGUGUUUGGGGAAUGUGAG